GGCCGAUUGGAGGAUUGCGGGACGACAACGGCUUGUCUUCGCCUUCGGCUGCAUGCUGCAUUUCAAGUUCAACUGCAUUCUGCAAUCGAAGCGUGGUUGGUAAUGGCGAGGCGAUGUUUCUGUUUAGUUUUUGUCGGUUAGUGUGAAUGUUAUGGCCAUUUUUAAUUUCCUGCUGUCCUUAAAACGAAACUAUUAGGUGGGCAUUUUACAAUAAACAAUAAUGCAAGAGAGCUGUGUAGUCCUUCCACUGUACCAUCCGCUAGUAACAAACCAUUCUCGGGGCGUUGUGAAUAUCCAGACUGAUCUUGACCUUAACAAGAAAGCCCAUGCAAAUGAUGCAACUUAAAAUGGCAAUUGUGUGAUUGACAAAGCCAGGCGGAGGUGAAGGUAUUUGGACAGAGGUUGACGGAAUUUCAGACAGAACGUGCACCCGUUUUCAAUGGACUUGCGGUGACCCAUUACUUUGACUGGUGCUAUUCAAACUAGUCUCCGGUUCCGGUGUGCCAUAAUCAUCUAAAAGGAGUCUCUCGAGUUUGUGGACGAUAGUAGGAAUCUCUUCUUUCGCCAAAAACCUUCACUAGUCCUUAAUACACAAUCUAAAUCCAUAAAAACGGCCUAUUAUCUUACCUUUCACUGUACAUCAAGAAUAAAAUCCAGUAUGAGAGAUGGUUCCUAAUAUAAAACUUCUUGCAGACACAUCACAACAAAAUCCUAACACUAUAAUGUUUAUUUUGCGGUUAUU